rnacentral:tRNA from 1 species
GCCCGGGUGGUGGAAUUGGUAGACACAAGGGACUUAAAAUCCCUCGCUAGCGAUAGCGUGCCGGUUCAAGUCCGGCUCCGGGUACCA